UACUAGAGUAGCACUCGCAUAUCAAUAAGCGGAGGAAAAGAAACUAACAAGGAUUCCCCUAGUAACGGCGAGUGAAGCGGGAAGAGCUCAAAUUUGAAAUCUUAAAGGGUUUCCCUUUACGAAUUGUAGUUUAAAGAAGUGUUUUCUGUUGAGGUUUUGGUAAAAGUUCUUUGGAAUAGGACAUCAUAGAGGGUGAGAAUCCCGUAUUUGACCUUUACUUUCAACUUUGUGAUACACUUUCAAAGAGUCGGAUUGUUUGGGAAUGCAGUCCAAAAUGGGUGGUAAAUUUCAUCUAAAGCUAAAUAUUGGCGAGAGACCGAUAGCGAACAAGUACCGUGAGGGAAAGAUGAAAAGAACUUCGAAAAGAGAGUUAAAUAGUACGUGAAAUUGUCAAAAGGGAAGCGUUUGACACCAGUGUUGUUUUUCUGAAAAUCAAUUAAAGAACUGUUUAUGCUAAGCUGUUUAGACUUUAUCAGCUAUCUGUUUAGUUUUGAGCUUUUCUUUAAUGCACUUUUCAGUUAACAAGUCAACAUCAAUUUCUUUUGCUGUAAAAAAGCUUGAGGAAGGUGGCUUGAGAUUCGUCUUAAGUGUUUAUAGCCUCUUGCCUAUGCAGUCGGAGAGAUUGAGGUCUGCAGCGUAGAUCCUUCGGGGCUAAAUGCAUUUGUGCUAAGUUAUAGCAUUUUAUAGACAACUUGUUGACUAUGAUUUGUCUUGUAGCUUACUCGCUUAUGUUAUUUUACCUACGCUUAGGAUGUUGAGCGCAUGUCUCUCUCU
rnacentral:rRNA from 1 species